UUUGAUAGUUAAAUUACGGUUACACUUUACUUUAAGGUAUCUACGUAAGAGUGACAUGACGCUGUUAAACAUUAUAAACAUGUCAUAAACGUUUAUGAC